rnacentral:lncRNA from 1 species
GUAAAAGAAAGGGGGAAAUAAAGAAACCACAGCCUUCAUCUGGCUUUUAGGGAACUUAGGACACAUGGAAGAAAGCGCUUGGAAGGCUAUUGAAAUAUUUACAAAACAAAUCAUUUACGUUUAACUUUUGUAUAUGUAAAACCCGGAGAGCUGCCUACAAAGACAGAGGCAACUUUAGUUAUGAGAUAUUUUGGCAUCAAAAUGGUUAAUAGUAUUAUAGCUUCAAAAGAGCCUAUUGGCUCACCCUCAAGGAUGCCCUGCAGUUGUUGUUAAAGUCAUCACAAGAAGCUAGCCUGCUCAGCUAGCCUUUAGAUUUGUCUGCUAACAGUAAAAAUACUAUAAUAAAUCGGUAACAUAUGUUGCCAGGCAAGGAAAAGUGAUAUAAAUAAAGAGACUAGGAGACCCAAACCAAGUACAAUGUGAAAAGAAUUUAACUUUCAAUCUCUGCGUUGGUUAAUUACCAUUUGAAAAGUCAUUUGAAAGUGUUACUCUUAUUUGCUUAUAUUCUUCCUCAUUUUUUUUUUUUUCUCUUCAGAUUGCAUUCUUACCCAAAUACUCUUCGUGAUGGCCUGCUUUGCGGCUUUGGGAUUCUUUAGGGAAUGGAGAUCAGUUUCAUGGAUGACAUCCCAGUUUUCUCAUCAUCAGAAAAGAAAAAAAUCCUCUGGCCAGUGGAAGAAACAGUCACCAAAACGUGAAACAGCCUGGUGAGACAGCAAUAUUCAACUACGAAAAGACCAACAGCAUUGGUCAUGCCAUAUUGUACCUGUCUUUCGGUGUUCCUGCUGCCCGCAGGCCUGGAAGCUUCAGACAGACAGGAUCUUGCAUUUUGGCUACUCCUGCACAUGGCCCAGAGUCUGGUAACCAGAAUGAACUUGAGUUGCGGUUAAACAGACAUGCGAAUCCUGCACCCCCACUCCAAGCACUGAGUAUAUCUUCCAGAACCAUAGCCUCUGCCUGGGGGAGGACUGAGCCUGCCCAGCAAGCUCACCGCAAGCUGGGAGAAGCCCAGACUCUGCAGGCACGUGGUUCUGCAGAACGAGCCCUGGAUGGACUCAGGCAGGCACACCCAGUGAUCUCUCCUAGAUUCAACAAUCAGGCCAGCAGCUGGUGUGACACUAAAUCUUCCCAGAGAAACAUAAACCCAGGAAAUGACAGCCUUGUCCCUAGCAUUGGCCUCAAUGCUCAUUGACAUAUCGAAGAAACUAAAGGGUGAAAGGAGGUGAUGGUUAAUUUUAUGCAUCACCUUGGCUGGAUGAUGGUGUCCAGUUAUUUGGUCAAACACUAGUCUAGAUGUUGCUUGAAGGUAGUUUUUAAAGGUGGUUAAAAUUUAACUCAAAAUAUUCCGAGUAAAGCAAAUUGCCCCCCAUGGUAUGGGUGGGUCUUAUCCAAUCAGUUGAAGGCCUUAAGCACAAGGACUGAGGUUUCCUGAAGAAGAAAUUCUCCUCAAGACGGCAACAUCGACUCUUACCUGAUUUUCCAACCUGCCUUACAGACUGCAGCCUUGCCAGUCCCACAACUGCAUGAAUCACUUCCUUCUCUCAAUCUCUCUUUCUAUUGUGUGUCUGUGUGUGUAUUCGCCUUCUGGUUCUGUUUCUCUGGAGAACCCUGCCGAUACAACCGACUAUGUUGAAUCUGUAGCAGAAGAGGUAGGGUGAUGGCCAUGAAAGCCAUGUUCGAGUUUCUAAUGGGUUCUCUAGGAUGAGGUCUUGGGCUUAUUUAAUGUGUCACAUCACUCUGACUAUCUUGAGAUGCUUGAGUAUCUGAGAUGCUUUAGAUAGUGCCUGAUGGGUCUUAUCAGUGGUGCUACAGAAAAGACGCUCAUGUUACAAGAAAGCUGAAUCAGAUGGCUGCCUGCUAGGGGUACUUCAAACUGUUUUGAGGACACUGACAUUAUCUAAUGCUUCUGUUAAAUAAUUAUAAUGUGAUCCCCCCCC